rnacentral:rRNA from 1 species
AGCUCCAAUAGCGUAUAUUAAAGUUGUUGCAGUUAAAACGCUCGUAGUCGGAUUUCGGGGCCUGCCUGCCGGUCUGCCGAUGGGUAUGCACUGGCAGGCGCGUCCUUCCUUCCGGAGACUGUCCCUACUCUUAGCUGAGCGGGGUCGGGAGACGGAUCGUUUACUUUGAAAAAAUCAGAGUGUUUCAAGCAGGCAGCUCGCUCUUGCAUGGAUUAGCAUGGGAUAAUGAAAUAGGACUUUGGUGCUAUUUUGUUGGUUUCGAACACCGAAGUAAUGAUUAACAGGGACAGUCAGGGGCACUCGUAUUCCGCCGAGAGAGGUGAAAUUCUCAGACCAGCGGAAGACGAACCACUGCGAAAGCAUUUGCCAGGGAUGUUUUCACUA